UUUCACUUUUCCUGUCUGAGCGUUGUUUUGUUUUGUUUUGUUUUAAUAAACCUCAACAGACUCGCAGGCAUUGACUAAGUUCGCUUAUCUGUUGUCCAGUAGUAAUAACACCUCUAUCGUCGACUACGAAUAACCCGUGUGUUGAUGUGAAACAGUAUAACGCAGGUCUACGACGGUGUUAGACGUCCACGGAUGGCUACAAAAUAAAUUGCAGCCAUUUUCCAGCCAGCUUGUUUAACAUCAAUAAUCAUUGUGUCGCUUUCACUUUGUGUGUUAGAAUGAUGCAAAUACAUCCCUUUUCAAAAUGUUCCCGAAUGAAAACACAUGUACGUUUCGUUUAUUUGUUUUAUGUUCUCUUCUUACAAACGGAUAUAUUGUUCCUGGGUAAAAUAUUCUGUCAACGAA